UUUGAGUGAUCUCGAAGUUUCUUGCCCACAAAAGCCGAACGGUGAUGCCCCAAACUCGGUUUCUUGAUUCCGUCCCAAAACGCCAAAGAAAGGCACAAUGGCUUAAAAAGGAACGACCGGACUCAGACAGGGGUCGGAGUCCUUGAAAGUUCACAUCUAGCCACUGGGCGGUCCGAUUCUGAGUGAUCUCGAAGUUUCUUGCCCAC
rnacentral:lncRNA from 1 species